AUAAACUACAAUUAUGUUCUAUAACUCAUUUGUCAAGAGAGAUGGGAGCAUGUACUUCCUUCCCAUAAUUCAAUAUGCAAUAGUUCCAUACUUCCUUGUUUUUCUUGUGAGCUACAAGUUCAUAUGUCUGCAACUGUUUCAUUGACAAAACGAUAUCCACCACAAGAUGGUGACAAUCAAUCCUAGAAUAUAUUAUUUUCAAACAGCAAUUUCGACUCACGUUAACCUUAUUUUCUUGAGAAAAAAAUAUUCUAACACUUCAAUGUUGCAUCUCCCAUUAAUUUUAUGGACACAAGUUUGAUAGAAUUCCUCAUCAAUUAUAUGGUGUCCAUACUUGGGUGACAAACUUAUAUUUUGUGAAAAUAUCGGUAUAAAGAGUAGUCCUGCAGUGACAAAAAGUGCCAGAAAAUUGAAGGAACAAUCCAAUUUUGCCUUAUUGGGACCAAAAGAAAGUUUUUGGAAUAGCUUGUGUACAGUGGUUCUUUAGUUUUUGGAAUAGCUUGUGUACAAUAGUUCUUUAGUU
rnacentral:lncRNA from 1 species